GUCCACGCCUAACGAUGUCUACUAGUUGUUGGUGGAGUAAUCCAUGAGUAACGCAGCUAACGCGUGAAGUAGACCGCCUGGGAGUACGGUCGCAAGAUUAACUCAAAUGAAUUGACGGGCCCGCACAAGCGGUGGAUUAUGUGGAUUAAUUCGAUGCAACGCGAAAACCUUAACCUGGCCUUGACAUGUAACGAACUUUCCAGAGAUGGAUUGGUGCUCGAAAGAGAGCGUUAACACAGGUGCUGCAUGGCUGUCGU
rnacentral:rRNA from 1 species